rnacentral:rRNA from 1 species
AUGAACGCUGGCGGCGUGCCUUACACAUGCAAGUCGAGCGAGGCCAGGUAGCAAUACCUGAGUCGAGCGGCAGACGGGUGAGUAAUACGUGGGUGACCUGCCUCGAGGUGGGGGAUAACCCGGGGAAACUCGGGCUAAUACCGCAUAACAUCGUGAGAUCAAAGCAGGCGAAAGCUUGCGCCAUGAGAGGGGCCCUCGUCUGAUUAGCUAGUUGGUGAGGUAACGGCUCACCAAGGCGACGAUCGGUAGCCGGCCUGAGAGGGCGAUCGGCCACACUGGAACUGAGACACGGUCCAGACUCCUACGGGAGGCAGCAGUGGGGAAUUUUGCGCAAUGGGGGAAACCCUGACGCAGCAACGCCGCGUGGAGGAUGAAGGUCCUUGGAUUGUAAACUCCUGUCAGCAGGG